ACAUUCUGGGCUGUGUGGUCCUCUCUUGCCCAGUUGAGCCGCCCCUGGGGCUGCCAUGGGGAGGGCCCCAGGGCUGAGGCCAAAUGACAGAGCAGGCUUCUCGCGUGCCUGUGGCCUUCUUGAGUGUCCUGACUGUCCGUUGCCCGCAGCUGCUCUCCCUGCAACCCCCAAGGCUCCUGGCUCUGGCCUGGGGAGGCGAAUAAUGGCCACAUGGGUAUCUUCUGGAAGCAUCUGAGUUCCUGGUCCUGGGGGGAAGAAGGGAUGGGGUGUGGGUUGAAGAGAGCACAAAGGAGCGGGAAAAACCUCAAAGGCACAGGGCCCAAUCUUGGGGAAGCCUUGUUGGGCGCCCGGAAACUCAACGUAUGCUGCAGAGACCCCUACUGGGGAGAGAUGUAAUUACAACACGGUUCCGCGCUUGCGCAGACACACAGGGCCUGCUGCAGGUCAGCGCAAGGGUGGGAACCCAGGCUUUGGGGUCCGAGCCACUGGAUUUGGGUCUUGGGUCAGUCACGCAAUGGCUGAGGCUCUGGGCGAGUUACUGGAAGCUCUCUGAGCCUGUUAAAUGGAAUAGGUACAAAACCUCCCCCAUCUAUUUCGUAGGGUUGUUCCGGCGGAAUCAAAGCAUACGAAGCGGGGCCCCCGGGUGGCUCAGCCGUUAAGCGUCUGACUUCUGCUGGGGUCAGGAUCUCGUGGUUCAUGAGUUCGAGCCCCGCUUUGGCGCAGCUGGGCCGGCCCCGUGUCGCACCGGGCUCCAGGACCGGUGACAAUGGACAACGCAUCUUCAUCCUGACUUGUGUGGCAGAAAGCAGAGGAACCUCUGUGGCCUACAGCCGGAUGCCUCUGGGACCCCGGACCGCUGCGUCCCACGGAGGGUCUGUCCUCGGUGUCUCCUUGAGGCCCCGGGGACAGUGCUGUGGCCUUCACCUUCGCGGUCCAGGACGCAGUCAGUAACAGCGGCUCCCUCCCCGUCUCAGCGCCGCCCUUGUGUGCAGGGCCAGGGAUCCUGGGAGGGGACACGGUCGGGGAGACAGUGUUCGGUAGGUAUCCCUGGGGAGUCGGCCACUCGGCCCCUGGAGGUCCCAGCCGGGCAGGAAGUGGAAAAGGUUACCUGGAGCUCUGGACAGCUUGUCACUGUUUUGCAACCAGGACCCGGAGGCAAACCAAUCCUGGCUGCUGGGACUUAGGGACCUUAGAGCGAACGACUGUGUGUCCUCUCUGCAGAUCAGGUCCCCAAGGCUGCAGGGCCCUGGCCCCUCCGGAGCCUGGAUAACUCUGCCUAUUUGUCAACGCCACCAAGGAUUUCACCCUGCGGGUCUGUGGUGAGGUGGGGGGGGGGGGGGCGGAGGGCUCACAUCUGAACUUUGACCUUUCCGCUCUGCCCUGCCUGACCAGGCCAGAGUCUCCUCAGAGCUCAAACUUGCCUUUCGCGCAGAGAGAAGCCGCGGGAGCCCGAUAUUGCUGCCGGUUCCCGGAUGGUGAAGGGUGGGGCCCGCUGUGUCCCCCUGACGGGCUCCCUGCGACAGGCCGGAGAGGACGUGCGGUACAGUCGGGCCCCGCUCGGCCGGGUGGCGGGGGUGGGGGACCACUCUCACGUCACCUGGACUUCUGGGGUCGGCGACAGUUAUCGCUGCACGGCCAGGAGCCGGUCAGUCAGAGCUCGGGCUCAGUCCCCACCGGGCCCCUCUGUGCAGGUAACCCCCUCCUGUGAGCCCCCUCCUUGACAGCCUGGGCCUAGGUCCUUAGCAUCCCCACCUGGCUUCCUGGGGACUCCAGGGCUGGUCGAGGAAAAGGCGGGCGUGAUCACUGAGAGCAGUGAGUGUCUCUGGGGUGGCAGGAAAGGACGGUUCUGGUGCCAUCACCCCAGGGCCUGCCGUCCAGCUUCUGUCUGUCAGCCCCAGACCCCGCGCUUGGCUCACUCCUGGGUCUCCCCCGGCCCACCCGCUCUUGCAGACCCACUGAGGAGGAGCCCCAGACCUUGGCCGCGUCCUCAGAGAAGCCUGGAGCUGCUCUGAGAGGGAGAUCCAGGCUGUGGCUCCUGUGGCAUCCGGGACGGCCUCUCCCGGUGUCCACAGGCCGCUGCGGGAAACUGCUUCGGUCCAAACACAUUCUGUCCCUCUUCCCUCUUCUUGGCCGACUUCUGGACGUCUCUCUGCUCCCUGUCUCUGAGUCCCAUGCUCCCCCCACUGAGCCAGCCAGGCGCCCCCCCCCGCCCCCCCAGGCAUUUAGAAGGUGCCUGUGUUGUUGGAGGCUUCGAGGAGAGGUCUGGAUACAUCACCACCCCUCUGGGAGCUCAGUCACAAUUGUUACAGUUCGCCCCUGACCCCACGAACUGACUUGAGCGGGGACGGAGCGAGUUGUACGAGAGCCUUUGUCCGUGUCUGGCUUCUCCAUUGAAUGAGACCAAUGCUCAUUCUUAGUUCCUUCUGUGUCUCCAAUAUACAGCAUGGAAUAGGCGUGAAACAUGCGACUCUGACGUGUAUUUAGGGAGCAGCCUGUACUGGGUGUGACAGGACCCAAGGACACAUGGUCGCGGGUUGCAGACGCUAACAUUCUCCCGGCCCUUCCAGGGCGUCCGGAGGGCAGUCCACCUCCUUCCCCCUGAUUCGGCUUCCUUAAGGGGCCUCCAGCCCACCCACACUUCUGACUUCUUUUCUUGCAAAUCCCUUCCCCUGUCUGCCUGUCUUCCAUUUCUUCUCUUUCCUUCCUUUUACUCCAGUUCCUAACCUGUGGUCAUUGUUUCAUUCAGCCUCCUUCCUACUUUGCUCCUUGAAGAAAGAAUUUCUUCUCUUUUUGGUCCUGGGACCUUUGCUGAUUGGAUACAUUCGACCUUGACACGUGGAGCAGUCAAGAGGAAUAAUGUGAGGAGGGGGUCACCCUGUGAGACACAGACAUGAGUGCCACCUGCUGCCGACAUCUCCCGGUGAGAGAGGGACACCAAUCCCGAGUCAGACAUAAACCCUAUUUCAUUUGCAAACGGACUUCGGAAUCGCCAACAAGCUGUGACAUAGCUUCGGUUUAAAUUUUUUUUUUUCAACGUUUAUUUAUUUUGGGGACAGAGAGAGACAGAGCCUGAACGGGGGAGGGGCAGAGAGAGAGGGAGACACAGAAUCGGAAACAGGCUCCAGGCUCUGAGCCAUCAGCCCAGAGCCUGACGAGGGGCUCGAACUCACGGACCGCGAGAUCGUGACCUGGCUGAAGUCGGACGCUUAACCGACUGCGCCACCCAGGCGCCCCGACAUAGCUUCGGUUUAAAACAACCUGUUUAGGGGCACCUGGGUGGCUCAGUCAGUUAAGCAUCCAACUCUGGAUUUUGGUCCAGGUCACGAUCUCACAUUUCGCGAGUUCGAGCCCCACGUCUGCACUGACAGGGCCGA